GAAUCGGAGGAAGGUGGGGAUGACGUCAAGUCAUCAUGGCCCUUAUGUCCAGGGCGACACACGUGCUACAAUGGCCGGCACAGCGGGAAGCGGAGGGGCGACCCUGAGCGGAUCCCUUGAAAGCCGGUCCCAGUUCGGAUUGCAGUCUGCAACUCGACUGCAUGAAGUUGGAAUCGCUAGUAAUCGCGGAUCAGCCAAGCCGCGGUGAAUACGUUCCCGGGCCUU
rnacentral:rRNA from 1 species